rnacentral:tRNA from 2 species
AGCCCCGAGGUGAUUUUCAUGUUGAACUGCAAAUUCAAAGGAGCAGUAGACUUCUGCCGGGGCUU